rnacentral:piRNA from 1 species
GGCCUUGCAAAGAGCCUACUGGCUGCCAG